UACGUAGGGGGCUAGCGUUGUCCGGAAUCAUUGGGCGUAAAGAGCGCGUAGGCGGCUGGAAUAGUCCGGUGUGAAAUCCACAGGCUUAACCUGUGAAUGCCGCUGGAAACUGUCUGGCUAGAGUCCGGAAGGGGCGAGUGGAAUUCCUGGUGUAGCGGUGAAAUGCGCAGAUAUCAGGAGGAACACCGAUGGCGAAGGCAGCUCGCUGGGACGGUACUGACGCUGAGGCGCGAAAGCGUGGGGAGCGAACAGG
rnacentral:rRNA from 1 species